GGCGCUGUGGCCGAGUGGUUAAGGCGACAGAUUCGAAUGCAAACGGACAAUGGUUUACGGUGUAAUCUGUUUCGGUUUCCGAGCGCAAGUUCAAAUCUUGCCGGCGUCG